UACGUAGGGUGCAAGCGUUGUCCGGAAUUAUUGGGCGUAAAGAGCUCGUAGGCGGUCUGUCACGUCGGCUGUGAAAACCCGAGGCUCAACCUCGGCCUGCAGUCGAUACGGGCAGACUAGAGUUCGGUAGGGGAGACUGGAAUUCCUGGUGUAAGCGGUGAAAUGCGCAGAUAUCAGGAGGACACGGUGGCGAAGGCGGGUCUCUGGGCCGAAACCUGACGCUGAGGAGCGAAAGCGUGGGGAGCGAACAGG
rnacentral:rRNA from 1 species